rnacentral:rRNA from 1 species
CAUGAGCUGGGUUUAGACCGUCGUGAGACAGGUCGGUCUCUGCCUGAUGGAAGCGCGGCUGUCUGAGGGGAAGUUGCUCUUAGUACGAGAGGAACAGAGCAACGUGGCCACUGGUCUACCGGUUGUCUGAUAAGGCAGGCCGGGCAGCUAAGCCGUUUGGAUUAAGUGCUGAAAGCAUCUAAGCACGAAACCCAUCCCGAGACAAGACAGCCUUUCGUAAGAUGAAGGUUCGCAGAAGAAGACUGCGUUGAUAGGAUGGAUGUGUAGAUCAC